rnacentral:lncRNA from 1 species
GUGCCUGACAUAGUUUGAUUGUUUGUAGAGAUGAGGCUUAAGGAUAUUGCCAAGAUAAAGUAAAACCUUCCAAAGAAGAAGAAGACUCCGACAUCUAAAAGCACCUCAAAGAAGCCAAUGGUCCAUCGAGAAAAGGUCGAGGAUGAGCGGGCUUCAGUAGUUGAGGCCAUUGUGGUGCUGGUAACUUCCACUCCUCCAAGUCCAUCUCCAUC